CAGAAGAAGAAGAGCAGCUGUCACCGCCAAAAUGCUUUGUAUUUUGUCACCGCCAAAAUGUAUUUUAUUUCAUUAUAUAUUUUUUACUUGGUGGGUGACAGAGGAAGAAGAUCUUCAGCUGCAAGCUAGCGUUUUCAUCGAGCUUGUUAACACAGCUAGCUACCUAGCUACCUAACUAGCUCCUUCUUUAGCUUGCCUCCAACGUGAAAAUUAAAUGGAUCCUUCUGGUCUGGAGCCUCAGCUGCCUAUGGACAGACCCCAGCCAAUGGUAACUGUCAACUUGCGAGUCUGGAUACUGGAGGUGAAGGAAUCUGCAUUAUGUGAACUUCCAGUGCCACAAUUCAACAAAGCACUCUUUUAGUUGUUAGUCAUGAGUCAUUCAUUCAAACUUUUCAAAGUAUACCACAGCAUGCUAUUGUGAUUUAGUGCUGAACUUUGUAGUUUUAUGCAAUGAAUUUCAUUGUAGCCUAGCUACAGUACUGUAUGUAAGGUAAAAAGGUACAUUUUCCAUUCAU